GCCGAGCAUUUUAUAGCCGAGCGUGACGUCACGGGGAGCAGCCAGUGCGCGCGCGGAGGGGCGGAGCCAGCACGGUGCCCCACCUAGCGCGCAGCUCCCGGGCCUCCCCACCCGCGCUGUGGGUCUCCGCGCCGCCUCGGUGAAGGGAAGGACCCGCGGGGAAGGGUGACGCGGGCUGGACUGGCUCAGAGCGCCGAGGGUCUACCAGGACCGCUUUACCCAACCGCCUCUCCCGUUGUGGGUGCCCUGCAUCCCCUGCACCGGGAUAGGGUGUGGUGGCCCCACGGAGGAGCAGCCUCUCCCACCCCAGUCGCCGCCGCUGCCCGCGACUCAAGCUCACCUGGCCACGACGUGGCCGACCCCGGGAUCACCGCCAGCUGCGCCAUGCUCCAAAUCUCUCCCCUCGCGCAGUUGCCCCGCGGUGCAAAUUCCCACCUCCGCGCCCCUCCGGGAGCCCCAGCGUCCACAACGCACUUCAGAUUUGGGAAGGCUCAGGAUUUCUGCAACUUCAGGUUCUGAGGAAUGCCCCUUCUGUAGCUGUUAUCUGAACAAUGACCACUGUGAUACUGAGAAGGUGAGCAGAAGAGAACUUCCGCAGAUACCUACCAUCAUAGCCUCACACUGACCGGCCUCUGCACCCAUCUCUUCUGCUCCAUCUUCCCUCAGAGGAACCGUCUAUGCAACCCGGUCAAGGCCCUUCCUCUACUUUAUCCACCGACUCCAUCUUCUCUCACCAAGGCAAGGACAUUGGUUCAGUAAUUCUGCCCUUUCUUCCCUACAUGAUGACAUUCUCUCGCCCGACCAGGCAUUCCCAUCAGCACAUAAAUAUGCUAUUAUGUCUCUAAUCCAGAAAAAGUCCUUCCCCCCCUUGACCCCAUUUCUCCCUCCAGCUUCUAUCCUACAUUUCUGCCCCCUUUAUCGCAAAGUUCCUCAAAAGAAUUGUCAACACUUCCUCUCUCCAGUCAUUCCUCCUCCUGGAUCCACUUCCUCAUUCAGUUCCAGGAUAAGACACUCUGAUUUUCCUCCUCCCCCACUGGUCACUUUGUCUGAGGCUUCUUUGCUUUUCUUCCUCUUCUCCCUGACCUCUUACUGUAGGAGGGACCCAGGGCUCAGUGCUUGGGUCUCAUCUCUUCUGUCUAUUCUCACUCCCUGCUGGCCUCCUCCAGGCUCGUGGCUUUUCUCUGCUCUGCUUCUCUGCCUUCUGUCCUCCCCCCUUUCUUCUCUCUGCCCUCAUAUUGUGCAAAACAAUUGAGUUUCUUACCCACCAAGGAAGACUCUUUUUCACUUUUGGGGGGGGAUGAGGGGGGGAGAAUUUGGCUGGCUGUAGAGGGAAGAAAGCCACGUUCAUUUUCUUAUUAAUAAUUUUUGGUCCUGACGUAUACGUUAAAUGCAGUGUACAUCACAUAAGCUGUCUCUGAAUCUAAACCCCCACCUUUCAAAGUCUAGCCUAUUUCCUACAGUCAUAAUUCAAGCCAGGCAUAUGCAAAACACAAUCUUUUCCAAAUCCCAGGCUGAAAAGAAUGCCUCUUUAUAUGCAUAUCAUGUACAGCAAAAACCAAACAAAUCAUAAGAACAUCACUGGAAUUGUGUGGGAAGAGUUCUUGAAAAAGUUUCUCCUAGUCAAGUGAUGGUAAAUGGAAACUCGUUAGCUCUUCUUAAGAGCUAGUUCUCAUAAUGGCUAAUUGAAUACAUGUACAACCCCACUGGAUACCCUAUGCGUGUGGUGUCUUCCUUCUUAGUCUUUUAUUUUAAUGAGUAUAAAAUAUGAGGAAGGGGACUUGUUUUUCUCAAAUUCUUCGGCUGCAGAGUGUCUUCCUGGGUGAACCAGCUCCUUUGGGUGAUGGGUGUUCACCCAAAGGAACAGCAGCUGCUGUGCUGUGUUCGGGUGUAAGAGAGAGCGGAAGAGCUGUUGGCCGCUAUGCCAAAGCUUCCAGACUGCUGUCAAAAAACUCUUCAAACGGUUCUCUCCACUCUUAAGAACUACUGUGUUUCGUCACUUGCUACAACUGUCAUGAGAAAAGCAGUCGGGUGUUGUAGGUAAGAACUCGGGCCCUGGAGUCCCGAAGACCUAAGCAGUGUUGUCCUCCUGCAACCUCAGGCCGGCUGUCUACAUUAAUCUCUAAGCCUGAGUGGCCUUGUCUAUAGACCCAGCUAUGAAUCGUGUCUACUUCAUGGGUGAUCGUGAGGAAUGUGCUUGUCAGAGGCACUUAGCACAUGCCUGGCACUCAGUACACGUACUCAGUGCAUGUCAGCCACAACUACAACUCUCCCUGUCCUCCAGGGGUCAGUGAGCCAGUCUGUAGCAGUCUCCCUUGCCCCUCCCCCUUUAAAGAUUGAUUUAUGAGAGAGAGAGAGAGAAUAAACAGGACCGGGAGAGGGAGCCAAAACCCUCAAGCCGACUCCCCACUCAGCAAGGAGGCCAACGUGGGGCACAGCCGCAGGACCCCAAGAUCAUGAUCUGAGCCAAAAUCACGAGUCAGCCGCUUGCUGACUGAGCUACCCAGGUGCCCCAGCACCUGCCCCUUCUAAAUGUGAUUUCUAUUCUUCUGGGCUUGGAAAUCAGGUAUCAAACUUGUCUGAAAUAUGUGUUUAAAAAAAAAAAAAAAGAUUAAAUAAGCUCUGUGUGAAGACCUGCAACAGUUUUCAAACAUUUUCUUCUGUGAUGUGUAAGACACGUUCUCCUGGGCCUAACCGGGGUGAUGUGUGAUCUCCCUGGCUCAAGCUACAAAUCUUUAUUUCAGAAAAUGAGAAAAACAUUACCAUGUUUUCGUGUGUCAGAAAGGUAGAGUUAAAAACAGACAGACUAAAAUAUGUGAGCUUUAUUGAUAUUUA